rnacentral:rRNA from 1 species
AUUUAAGGUUUAACCUGCCCACUGAAUUUUGAAGGGCCGCAGUAAUUUGACUGUGCAAAGGUAGCAUAAUCAUUAGUUUUUUAAUUAAAAGCUUGUAUGAAGGGUUGGACGAGAUAAAAUCUGUCUUUAUUUAAUUUAUAGUAGAAUUUAAUUUUUAAGUUAAAAAGCUUAAAUUUAUUUAAAAGACGAGAAGACCCUAUAGAUCUUUAUAUAAAUUUUUAUAGUUUUAAUUAAGAAUAUUUUAUUUAUUAUUAAAAUUUAUAUUUUAUUGGGGUAAUAAAAAGAUUAAAUAAAUUCUUUUUUGAAUUAAACAUUGAUUUAUGAUUAGUUGAUCCAAUAUUUUUGAUUAAAAGAUUAAGUUACCUUAGGGAUAACAGCGUAAUUUUUUUAGAGAGUUCAUAUCGAUAAAAAAGUUUGCGACCUCGAUGUUGGAUUAAAAAUUAUCUUAGGUGCAGAAGUUUAAGAUUUUGGUCUGUUCGACCAUUGAAUUUUU